UACGAAGGGGACUAGCGUUGUUCGGAAUCACUGGGCGUAAAGGGCGCGUAGGUGGCACGACAAGUCAGUGGUGAAAGCUCGACGCUCAACGUCGAGUCGGCCACUGAUACUGUUGAGCUGGAGCACUGUAGAGGCUAAUGGAAUUCCGGGUGUAGCGGUGGAAUGCGUAGAGAUCCGGAAGAACACCGGUGGCGAAGGCGGUUAGCUGGGCAGUUGCUGACACUGAGGCGCGACAGCGUGGGGAGCAAACAGG
rnacentral:rRNA from 1 species